GACGAACGCUGGCGGCGUGCUUAACGCAUGCAAGUCGAACGGUGAAGCGCCUUCCUUUUUGGUGGGUGUGGAUGAGUGGCGAACGGGUGAGUAACACGUGAGUAACCUGCCCCCUUCUUCUGGAUAACCGCAAGAAAGUGUGGCUAAUACGGGAUAUUCUGGGUCUGUCGCAUGAUGGGUCUGGGAAAGAUAUUGUUUCGGUGGGGGAUGGGCUCGCGGCCUAUCAGCUUGUUGGUGGGGUGAUGGCCUACCAAGGCGGUGACGGGUAGCCGGCCUGAGAGGGUGGACGGUCACACUGGGACUGAGACACGGCCCAGACUCCUAAGGGAGGCAGCAGUGGGGAAUAUUGCACAAUGGGCGCAAGCCUGAUGCAGCGACGCCGCGUGAGGGAUGGAGGCCUUCGGGUUGUGAACCUCUUUCGCCAGUGAAGCAGGCCUGCCUCGUUUGUGGGUGGGUUGACGGUAGCUGGAUAAGAAGCGCCGGCUAACUACGUG
rnacentral:rRNA from 1 species